rnacentral:rRNA from 1 species
CGGCCCACCAAGGCCAACGAUGGGUAGCCGAUCUAAGAGGAUGACCGGCCACACUGGAAAAGAAACACGCUCCAGACUCCUACGGGAGGCAGCAGUGGGGAAUAUUGCGCAAUGGACGAAAGUCUGACGCAGCGACGCCGCGUGAGGGAUGAAGGUUUUCGGAUCGUAAACCUCUGUCAGGAGGGAAGAAAGCGCAUGGCGCCAAUCAGCCAUGCGUUGACGGUACCUCCAAAGGAAGCGCCGGCUAACUCCGUGCCAGCAGCCGCGGUAAUACGGAGGGCGCGAGCGUUAAUCGGAAUUACUGGGCGUAAAGCGCGCGUAGGCUGUUGUGUAAGUUGGGGGUGAAAUCCCACGGCUCAACCGUGGAACAGCCCUUGAUACUGCGCGACUUGAAUCCGGGAGAGGGUGGCGGAAUUCCAGGUGUAGGAGUGAAAUCCGUAGAUAUCUGGAGGAACAUCAGUGGCGAAGGCGGCCACCUGGACCGGUAUUGACGCUGAGGCGCGAAAGCGUGGGGAGCAAACGAGGAUUAGAUACCCUGGUAGUCCACGCUGUAAACGAUGGAUGCUGGAUGUCGGGGAGUAAUCCCCGGUGUCGUAGCCAACGGGAUAAGCAUCCCGCCUGGGGAGUACGGUCGCAAGGAUGAAACUCAAAGAAAUUGACGGGGGCCCGCACAAGCGGUGGAGUAUGUGGUUUAAUUCGAUGCAACGCGAAGAACCUUACCUGGGUUUGACAUCCGGGGGAUCCUCCCGAAAAGGGGGAGUGCCCUUCGGGGAGCCCCGAGACGGGUGCUGCAUGGCUGUCGUCAGCUCGUGUCGUGAGAUGUUGGGUUAAGUCCCGCGACGAGCGCAACCCCUGCGCAUAGUUGCCAGCAGGCAAAGCUGGGCACUCUAUGCGGACCGCCCGGGUUAACCGGGAGGAAGGUGGGGAUGACGUCAAGUCAUCAUGGCCCUUACACCCAGGGCAACACACGUACUACAAUGGCGCGCACAAAGGGCAGCGGGACCGUGAGGUGGAGCGAAUCCCAAAAAACGCGUCCCAGUCCGGAUUGCAGUCUGCAACUCGACUGCAUGAAGUCGGAAUCGCUAGUAAUUCUGGAUCAGCAUGCCAGGGUGAAUGCAAAGCCGGGCCUUGCACACUCCGCCCGUCA